GACAGAGGGGGCAAGCGUUGCUCGGAAUUACUGGGCGUAAAGGGCGCGUAGGCGGGAUGGCAAGUCGGUCGUGAAAUCCCUCGGCUCAACCGAGGAACGUCGAUCGAUACUGCUGUUCUUGAGGAUUGCAGAGGAGACUGGAAUUCCCGGUGUAGCGGUGAAAUGUGUAGAGAUCGGGAGGAACACCGGUGGCGAAGGCGGGUCUCUGGGCAAUUCCUGACGCUGAGGCGCGAAAGCGUGGGGAGCAAAC
rnacentral:rRNA from 1 species